GUUUGGGGCGUGGAUUGGUUUCUCCACUGUCGCUCUGGAGGCACUACCAGAAUACCAGACGAGCCCUGUUUCAAGGUGAGUUGGAGCGUGAAGUUGUACAAGAGCCGCAGAAUCAUGCGCAAUAACAGUGAUAGAGGAACUUGCAUAUUCGAUCCAGGACCUAUGGCAAACAUAAUUGCACUCACUAACACGAGCGGAGAGUUAGGAUUCCAAAUAUGUCUUACAUCUUCAUGGGACUUGAUGCAAAAACAAUGAGGCGACUUGCAGGUGGAACCUGCGCGCGCGCCUACUCUUGACGCAGGCGAACAGCAGCAACAAGGUGGAUGUCAAGAGGUCCCCGGUCCGAAUGGUGCCUGAAGACUCCAUGAACUGAUGACCUCUUUCUAAAUAGUUGUUCACAUGUGUCACGAAGUCUACCGAAGGUGGCUCCUCUCCCUGUUCGGGCGGCGCUCGGCGGUCGUCAUCGCCGACCUAGUAGCUGCCACCGAACCUCUUUUCCUUUUCGUUUGGUUUUGUCUGGUUUUGUGUUACACCUGUUUUGAGUUAGGUAAUUAGUGGGGUAUUUAGUCUUGCUGUCUGGGUUUAGGUUUUUGUGCGGGAUUGUUCGUUGUUUUCUUGUCGCGGGGUUUAUGUGGGGUAUUUUUGUUGUCUACUGUCUUUUUGAUGAAGAUGCUUAUUUUGUUGCUGGACUGUUUUCCAACCCUGUUGAGGUGGACAUUGUUAUUUUUGUCUGGUUCAUUUUUCCUUGUUCAUUUCCCUAUUUUGGAUUUGUUGGAAUUAGGAAAAUAAACACCCUACUCCGUA